rnacentral:rRNA from 1 species
AUUGAACGCUGGCGGCAGGCUUAACACAUGCAAGUCGAACGAGUGGCGGACGGGUGAGUAAUGCUUGGGAAUCUAGCUUAUGGAGGGGGAUAACUACGGGAAACUGUAGCUAAUCCCGCGUACCAUAGGAUGAGCCCAAGUGGGCUUAGGUAGUUGGUGAGGUAAAGGCUCACCAAGCCGACGAUCUCUAGCUGGUCUGAGAGGAUGACCAGCAACACUUGGACUGAGACACGGCCCAGACUCCUACGGGAGGCAGCAGUGGGGAAUAUUUCGCAAUGGGGGCAACCUGAUGCAGCCAUGCCGCGUGUGUGAAGAAGGCCUUCGGGUUGUAAAGCACUAUCAGCGAGGAGGCGUUACCCGCAGAAGAAGCACCGGCUAACUCCGUGCCAGCAGCCGCGGUAAUUC